rnacentral:rRNA from 1 species
CCUACGGGUGGCAGCAGUGAGGAAUAUUGGUCAAUGGCCGCAAGCCUGAACCAGCCAAGCCGCGUGAAGGAUGACGGUCCUACGCGUUGUAAACUUCUUUUGUCAAGGGACAAAGUGAGGCACGAGUGCCUUACUGUAUGUACUUUAUGAAAAAGGAUCGGCUAACUCCGUGCCAGCAGCCGCGGUAAUACGGAGGAUGCAAGCGUUAUCCGGAUUUAUUGGGUUUAAAGGGUGCGUAGGCGGUGAGUUAAGUCAGCGGUGAAAUGCCCCCGCUCAACGGGGUGAAGUGCCAUUGAUACUGCCUGGCUGGAAUGCGGAUGCGGUGGGCGGAAUGUGCGGUGUAGCGGUGAAAUGCGUAGAUAUGA